rnacentral:rRNA from 1 species
CCCCUAGAUGUUCUGGGCCGCACGCGCGCUACACUGAACAGUUCAACAAGUCUUAACCUUGGCCGAUAGGUCUGGGUAAUCUUUGAACGCUGUUCGUGAUUGGGAUAGACCUUUGCAAUUAUGGGUCUUCAACGAGGAAUUCCUAGUAAACGCAAGUCAUCAGCUUGCAUUGAUUACGUCCCUGCCCUUUGUACACACCGCCCGUCGCACCUACCGAUUGAAUGGUCCGGUGAAAUCUCGGGACGGCGGCUUGGUCGCUUGCGUCCGACUGCUGAAACUUGAUUAAACCAUAUCAUUUAGAGGAAGGUGAAGUCUUAACA